AUUAACCAUUUUGACUAAAAUAAAUAACGAUCAAAUAAAAUACUAACUGUAACAACCAAAAGUUUAAGCAGAACUGACGACCAAGCGUCGAAAUUACGUCAAUGUUGGAUUGUUGGCAAAGUUGGAAAAUCGUUGGAUUGUUGGAUCGCGCGCUUGCCGUCCAACUAAAUAUUUGAAUUCUUAAAUAAAUUACAAAAAUCACAAUAAUAUACAAUUUUAGUAACCUUUAUAUAAUAAACAAAGUUUGCAUGGUACUAAACAAAUUUCUAUGGUAACUAAAAAUACAACAA
rnacentral:lncRNA from 1 species